AGCGCCUCUGGUGGGCCGCCUCCCGCAGGCCUGGUGUGAGCCUGGGGUCCGUUCUCACAGCUGGAUCUGGGGUCUGAAUGCCGCGCCCUCUGGAGAGCCACAGAUGGGUCUCCGCUGAUGCUUCUCUCAAUUUCCUCUAAGAGCGAGAGCUCCGGGAAAGGAGCCGAUCCUGGUGGAAGACUACAGGUCUGAGUCCACUGGACGAAAAACGAGGCUCCUUGGAUUAGAGACCAUCCUGAGGACAUCCUUGGGAGCCAUGUGCUGAAGAUGGCCAAGCCACAGGAUGAAAGGAGCUGCAUCUUUGAGUCACCACUGGAGAAAGGUCUCUCUAAAUGGAUUUGCAGAGACGUCUUCUCGAAUACUCCCCUUCUAAGUUCCACUUGUAAUCCACUUCUUCUAUUCUCCCAGCAAUCAAUGUGGUUUGGGGAAAUUCCAGAAUCUCAUAAUACCUUGGUCAUGGGUAAAUAAGGAAAGGACCUUUACAUACAUGUGAUGCAAAGCAGAUCAAAACAAGCAGAGCAGCCUAAGAGCAGCAAGACCCCAAAGGAUAAGGGAAGUCCUGCAGAAGAGCAGAGCGGUGCUGCAAAGGCAGGCAGAGAUGAGGUUUCGCCAUGUUGACCAGGCUGGUCUCAAACUCCUGGACUCAAGUGAUCUGCCCACCUCGGCCUCCCAAAGUACUGGGAUUACAGGCAUGAGCCAAUGUGCCCGUCCUGAGGAGUUUUCUUCUGGAAUUCCUGCUGGGUUUUUGUAGUCAGUCCUCUCCCCAUUUCCCACAUUGGCUCUUGCAGACCUUCCUUUUCCCCAUUUCUAUUUGCUACCAUGUCAGACAUGACUUUUGCCAUAGGAUCUCUAUUCUACUAUAGAGGAAACCAAAGCCAUCAGUAGAAAUUUCACUAACAUGGAAUCAGAUUUAUAGAAGAAAGGGGGAGGAAAGUUUUGCCUUAACACCUGGAAGGGUUUCGUUUCUUUUAGUAGCUGGGAGACAGAAACAUAAGAAAGUAGCUUAGUAAGCUUUCUGCUGUUCAACUGAUGAUGUGUGAGCUGUCAGUAGUUCAAACUAGUCAUUAUCUUUAUGAAUUAAUUAUGUAAUAACUUAAACAAUGUCAUAAACCUUCAAAUCAGUUUAAGUCUAAAUGUGUCAUAUUUAAUAACAAGAGCAAGAAACAUACGUUAUGAUGAAGAGCUCUUAUAUUUUCUUUGGAUAAAAGUCAGUAGGCGGGGCGCGGUGGCUCAUGCCUGUGAUCCUAGCACUUUGGGAGGCUGAGGUGGGCAGAUCAUGAGGUCAGGAGAUCGAGACCAUCCCGGCUAACACGGUGAAACCCUGUCUCUACUAAAAAUACAAAAAAUUAGCUGGGCGUGGUGGCGGGCGCCUGUGGUCCCAGCUACUCGGGAGGUUGAGGCAGGAGAAUGGCGUGAAUCCGGGAGGCGGAGGUUGCAGUGAGCCGAGAUUGUGCCACUGCAUUCCAGCCUGGGCGACAGAGCAAGACUCCGUCUCAGAAAAAGAAAAAAAAAAAAAGUCAGUAAAAUUUAAGAGAAAAAUGCAUUUGCUUUGGGACUUUUAAUAUUUAGUCUACAAAUCUAGCCACCAUAGAAAUCUGCUGAUUAAAUACGGGUUCUGUUAAAAUGGAAACAUGCAUUUUGGGGGAAAAAAGAGGGAGUGUUUUAGUGAUUUUGUUUUUUACACUUGUUUAUAAUAAAAUUUUAAGCAAUCUUGAGGGGAACAUUUUAUUUCUACUUGUAACUGCAUAAAGUUAUGAGAUAAAGUUACAAGCUAUAUCACAUACAGUUUGUAGCUUUAUAAAUUAUGAAAUUCUAACAGAAUAAAUAUGCUAAUAUGAUGAAAAUGUCAUAAAUUACAUUAGAAUAUAUUUUAAUAAACCAAUUCAGAAGGAGCCAAUACCCAAUUUCAAAAUCAUAUUAAUUGUAAAAUUAAUUAGGGCAGCCAAAAUAUUCUGGAAUUCUUUCUAAUAAAACAAAUGAGUGUAAAUACAGUCGUACUGACAAAUCUGAAGAAUUAUGCAGCAUAAAAAGUGAUUAUCCCAGCACUUUGGGAGGCCAAGGUGGGCAGAUCAUGAGGUCAGGAGUUGGAGACCAGCCUGACCAACAUGGUGAAACCCCGUCUUUACUAAAAAUACAAAAAUUAGCCGGGCUUGGUGGUGCACACCUGUAAUCCCAGCUGCUCAGGAGGCUAAGGCAGGAGAACUGCUUGAAUCCAGGAGGUGGAAGUUGCAGUAAGCCAAGAUCACGCCACUGCACUCCAGCCUGGGCGACAGAGUGUGACUCUGACUCAAAAAAAAAAUAAAUAAAUAAAAAUAAAAGUUUUAAAAAAGUGAUUAUUAUGAACACAGAGUAAUCUAGUAAAAAUGGUUAAGUGAAAACAGCAAAAUACAAAAUUGAAUAUGUACUAUAACAAUAUAUGCAAAAUAUACUCAGAUUUAUAAAAAUUAGAAUGUAGAAAAGUAAAUAUAGCUCUUCAUAAUUUUGUUCUGAAGUUUAAAAAUAUAUAUAUUUUUGAAUGGAUAACUUUCUUUUUCUAAAUGCUUACAGUAGAGCCCACGAUGGUUGUUAAAAGCCCCCAGGUUCAGCCUUCUUUAAUUGUGUGGUCAGCCUGCCAUCAACCCGAGGCCUCCCUCUGCUGGGCAAAUUUGGGAACACAUUGAGAAAUCCUUACACGUAAUUCCUUCUCUUCAUGUUCCUGGUGAGCAUUUUUCCCAUUGGGUUUCCAUACUCUGCCCUCUUGAAGUCCUGCACCCUGACAUUGCAGUGUCAUUCCUCUUCUACUGAAGUCUACAACUAUUAGCUUAUUGUCUCUAGCAAGUCUCCCUUUAGCUACAAAUAUCAUUCAGAGUUUUACCUUUCAGAAACUUUCUCCAUGAGCAUUCUGGAGUAGACUCUAGGUGCACUAGGUGCAGUUAGAAAAAGUUCUGAUUUGUUGGUGGAGCUAUAGGAGGAGAGACAAUGGUGGGCUGGAGAAGGGUGUCUACAUGCAGAGAAACUGACUGGAAACUCAGAGAGAUGAUGGGGAUUAAAAUAAUCCUAUUGAAUCUGCACAAAAGUGUUUUAUUAUAAUUGAUCCUGAACUAUGUAAAGGUAAGCUCCAGUGAGUAGUUACAGUCUGUCCCUAAGAUGGACUCUUUCUUUUUGCUUUUAUUUUUAUUGUAUUUAUUUUAUUGUAUUUUUUUUUUCUAAAGACAGGGUCUUGCUAUGUUACCCAGGGUGGUCUCAAGUGGUCCUCCUGGCAUCAAAUGAUCCUCCCACCUCAGCCUCCCAAAGCGCUAGGAUUACAGGUGUGAGCUACCACACCCAAAUGAUUCUUUCUUUUCAAAUACAGAGUUCAGCAGCAAUUUUAAAGAAGUACUGAACUCUACUGCCUGGAAGAUGGAAUGGCCCUCACAAUUCUUCCAGGCAAGCUCUGCACUCAGUGGUAUGGACCACAAGGCAAGCCCAUUAAGGGGUUAAAUUACUGACAAACAAUAAUUUCUAAAUAUGAACAUUUCAGGAGGAACUAAGAUGGCUCCUUCUUGGAGAAUAAGUUGGCCGGCUUCUCUAGUUAUCAGACUAUCAGAUGGGGAGGAAAGAGCCCCUCUGUCCCGGUGAGACAGGACCCGCCAGCGCCCAAGCUCUAAGGCUUUCUGAUGAGCAAAUGGGGUUUCCAUCUUUCUAGCUUCAGGACUCGUAACUACUCAGAUUAUUUCCUUCAAUCUGGAUAUUCAAGACAAGAACAGUUCAUGGUGUUGCGAAGGCCCAGAUUUAAAUCACAUAUGCAAAGAUACUGACAUUCAGUGGAGGGUCACUUAGAUUAUAGCCAGAUGACUUUCCCUAAAUUGAUAGCUCAAAUGGUAGUUGUGGAUAUUUUUGCUCUUAGUUACUUGCAUAGUCACUUGCCAGAGGUAAUAAAGUUUUAGUGUGGUUGUGGAAAAUAAUGGCCAUAUAUUUAGGAACAAAAUUUUAAUGAUGAUUGAAAACUGAAUUAGCUUUAACAUGUGAAUAUGCUCAGGGGACAUAGGACCACAGAUCUCUGUUCCUUCCUAUUGCCACUUCUUUCCUUUCCCUGGUAGCAUGCUUCCAUUACCCAUUACUUCAAACACUGUUUCUGUGUCUCCAACUCCCUUGCAUCAUGGUCUUUUCAUUAUUCAGACACAGACACAGCUCGAUUAUGGGUAAACUUUUUUCUGUGGCUACAGAAGAGUUGAGCAUGGCUGAAGCAUCGUUGAGCAUGACUGAAGAAAAACACCUAACCUUGAAUUUUUUGAUCAAUAUAAAUUUAUAUCCACAGAUUUUACCUGACUGAUCUUCAUUGCCCACCAGUCCUACAAAGUUUGCCAGAUUGGUUCUGUUUCCACUUUACAUACUCAGCAAAUACUUAUUAAGCACACACUUUGUGUUAGGCUUAAGUGUAGAUAUUGAAGAGGCACUGGUGAAUGAGCAGAGGCUCUGCCCCCAUGGGACCUGCAUGCUAUUUGGCAGCUCUUUCAGACAUUCUCCUCUCUCAAAGCUUUGAGCCCCUCUAUACCCCUAUAAGCACCAUCUUUUCUUUAAUUUUUAUUUUUAAUGGACACAGUUGUAUAUAUUUAUGGGGUACUAUGUGAUAUUUUGAUACAUGUAUAGAUUGUGUAAUGAUCAAAUCAGGAAUUAGAUCAGUUUUUUGUCUUUUUUUUGGUAAAAGAUAAUCUUUUAUACUCUUUUGGUCCUGAAAAAUGGAGGAGUGCCAUAUUAGGAUUCCAACAGAAAAAGUUAAACCAAAAGAAUAUAUGAAGGGCAUAUAAUGAAGGGAUAUCUACAAAGUUGUGACAGGGCUAAUGGGAAGAACAGGGGAUAUGAGGCAGCCCAAGAUCAGCAACAGUAGUGAUCCAGUGUCACCCUGUGCUGGUUAUGAAGAUUUAGUCUCUUCUAUCUUUUCCAAUACCGCUUUGCUAGCCACCUCCCCAAACCCUACCAAUAGAAAGCACUGGAGGAAGACUAGAGGGCUGGAAGGAUGUGAAAAGAUUUCCCACUUUGUUUGUUGACAUCCUCACAGAAUGGGUUCUUCAACCUGGCAGUGGCAGUUGAAUCCAGUAACAGCAGUUGGCUUCAGUUUGGAGAUCUUCCAUGCUCCUAAAAUCAGCCUCAUCAUGCCUCUAUCUACAGACAUAUCAUCAUCAGUGGUCCAGCAUACACUCCUCAGAGGUCCCAGUUCUGGGGAUCUCUUCAAAGAAUCUUUUCCUUGUUCUCCUAAACCUGGAGGUGGUAGUUGCUUUCUGUCAUUACUAUCUCUGAUACGUUUGUCCACUUUUCCAUUUUCAGUCCUCUUAUAACUAGUUAACAACCAUUCCCAUAAAAUUCUUUGUUCAAUUUCAGUGCAAUUUCUAGCUCCCAGUUAUACCCUGACAGACACACCUUUAAAUCUGAAGAGGCAAUGGGAGGGAACCUGUAACCAGAGCUAGGCCAGAGCUGGGACUGUGGAGGAAGAGCUGCCCACCAAGCAGGGGGGUGAUGCAGGGAAUAAGUACACUAACCUCUCUCUCCUUUGCCAUCUACAUUCCUGCUGGGCUGAUCACUGGCCAAAUCCAGCUGUUGCAAGAGGGCAGGGCUGCCCAGCUAAUGCUAUCUGUAGAAGCUGGGCUUCUGGGGCACAGAGCAAGUCAGAGACAGGCAGAACAGGGAUGUGGGUUUGGACCAAACACUGAAUAAACCAGAUCAAGGAUUCUUCUAUCAAGACAAGUUUAUAUACUUGCAGCUUGAUCCCAUUGUUUCCCUUAGAUAACUGUGCACUUGUUUUUGUCUGCCCUCUUUCCUGUGUCUACACUCUUCCUGUCUUAUUCUAUUUACACAUAGCUCAGUCUUUUCCAAUUAAAAAAAAAAAAAAAAAGCUUUCCCUCUCCCAAAUCUCCAUGCAGCUGCUGACUUCUCUCUUCCAAAGCCACACUGUGGGAGAGUCAGUUACACCUCCUGACCUCUGACAGGUGCAACACACUAUAGUGAGGCUUCUGCCCUUGGUAUUCCUCUGGCUCCAUUAUUUACAAGGUCACUAAUGACUUCCUAUUUCUAAAUCCAGAGUGCCUUUUUAGUUAUCUUCCUUGCCUUCUUGGCAUCUCUAGAUAACAAUACUUGUCUCAUUCUAACUUUUGUCUCUCCUUACAGCUCUUUCAUUCAUAAUUCAUUGUUAUUCAGUUGGAGCCUUGAUGGUGUUAGGGAGAAGCAGCAUUCUGUAGUCAAAGUGUUAAGCCUCAGUUUAUUAGCAUGCCUAUAUCUUGGGGCUGGGACCGUCACAAGUGUUUAUAAUGAUACAACUCCUCCUCCUCCUCCUUCUCCUCCUCCUCUUCCUCAAGUGUUUAUAAUGAUACAACUCCUCCUCCUCCUUCUCCUCCUCCUCUUCCUCAAGUGUUUAUAAUGAUACAACUCCUCCUCCUCCUCCUUCUCCUCCUCUUCCUCAAGUAUUUAUAAUGAUACAACUCCUCUUCCUCCUUCUCCUCCUCCUCAGACCUUUGCUCCUUUCCUGGCUGCACCAUUUCCAAUUUAUUUUCAUGAAGCUCUGAUCCCUGUUGACUAAUUUUCUUCCCUUAAGUGAGACAGAAAGCCUAGAUGAGGCUGCAGUGGGAAGAAUUACCUUCUCCCAGCUGGGAUAAGACUCUGGCAAAAUGUUUUCCCCUUGAGAGUAGGCCUUUGUUUUGAAGAAGGUUCUGGGGUGUAUUUCAUAAUAAUUCUUCUCUCCCUGCCAAAGCCACAAGAGGAUCCUUCUCAGAUCUUCACUGCAGGAACCUGGUGGGCUUUCUGAUGCCCACAAAAGUGUGGGAGCUUCUCACUCUCAUGGGCAUUCACAGUUGGCCUCCAGCUUUUUGUCAGAGUUACCAAUUUAAAUGUUCUCAAAUGUGAUACUGUCUCAACUUCCAGGACAUCACACACUCAUGAUUUUCUACUAUCCUGACAUUUGCAGUCUUUUUAGCAGAUCUCCCUCCCUCUCCCUGCACCAUGGGUAUUGGUCAUCUCAGGAUCUGUCCCAGGCUUUCUACUCUUCAUGCCCUUUGAGACAACACAUGAUCUGACCUGCCCUUUCAGGAAGAAAUGUUCUGUCUACCUACUUGCUCCAGUUAAAAACCCUAGUGUCAUCUUUGACCCUUCUCAUCCCUACAUCUAAUCUGUUGAUUCUACCUCCUAAUUUUCUCUCAAACGCAUCUAUUUUUCUUCAAUUUCAGUGCUACUCUCUUGCUCUAAUUGUACAUCAUCUUUUUUAGAAUUACUGUGACAUUUUCUUGCCUCCAGUUCUGCCUCAGUCCAUCCACUUCACAGCUAAAUUUUGGAUGUACACUUUUGAACUAUUACUGUAGCAAAAGUAAUAUGUAAUAACUGUAAUGCAGAAAUAUAAAAUAUGCAAUAUAAAAGAAAUACAUGCAUAAAUGAUCCCAACACUAAGGAAACAAUAUUGAUCAAUAAUUAAAUAAUUGGUGGAUAGUGAAUGACAACAUAGAGCAAAGUGUUCAGUAGGUUUUAAAAGCUGUGGGUUCAAUAAAUGCUCAUGAAGCUUGUUCAGGGGCUUGCAAAAUAUGUAAUUUGAAUUUUUAAAGAAAAGGAAUUUCAGAUAAGAAAAAACAUACAUAACAUGAAACAAUACUUGUGGUGGUUUCAGGGAGGUCAUGUUCUCACAUUCAGGUGCCAAGGCCACCGUACAUCCGGACACUGAGGCCACGGACUUGGUCUGCAACCUCCAUGACAGCCUUGUAGAUUUGAAACCGAACUCCAAGGAGCAGUUGUGCUGUGAGUUCCAGAGUUUGGGGACAGAGGAAACACCAUUCUUUGGAAGUCUAACUUCCUUAAGAGGUGUCCCUUAGACAUCUAGUGUCCGGUGUUAUGGAGGUCCUUGUGCUCUGAGGAAGGAGCCCCUUGUUGAUUGAUGGAGCAAAAUUUUUUUAAACAAGGAACUGUACCCGUAUCUGGGCAUGAAGCCAGAGAAAUCCCUGAGGGCAGGGCCAAGGCUCUCAAAGAUUUUCAGGGAGAUUCCCAGCCUUUUUAAGUCUCGCCUAUUCUUUUUUUUUUCUCUAACUGGCCAUUUUGUAUAUAUGGAGGUUAUUGAUUUUUUUGCUUUUAUAUCCUGAUAUUUUAAUAACUGUUCAUUUUUUAGUUAUUUGAAUUAUCUACAUUGAUUAUUUGAAUGUUCUUUUUUUUGUUUUUUUGAGACGAAGUCUCGCUCUGUCGCCCAGGGUGGGGUGCAGUGACAGGAACUUGGCUCACUGCAACCUCUGCCUCCUGGGUUCAAGCGAUUCUCCUGCCUCAGUCUCCUGAUUAGCUGGGAUUACAGGUGCCCGCCACCACACCCAGCUAAUUUUUGUAUUUUUACUAGAGAUGAGGUUUCACCAUGUUGGCCAGUCUGGUCUCAAACUCCUGACCUCAGGUGAUCCACCCACAUCGGCCUCCCAAAGUGCUGGUAUUACAGACAUGAGCUAUUGCACUUGGGCUUUGAAUUUUCUACGUAUCUGACUUCUACGAAGAAAACUAUAAUGUAUUACUCAGAUAAAUUAAACAGGAAAACUAAAUAAUGGAGGAGUAUAUUUACAGUUGAAGCGGUCAAUAUUUUAAAGGUAUUAAUUGUCCCCAAACUGAUCUACAAAACCAUUGUAAUCCUAAUCAGAUUCCCAAUAAGCUUUAUUAUAGAAAUUGACAAACAGGGUUCAAAUUUAAUACACAAAUCCAAGGGCCCAAAAUAAACAAAUCUGUUGCUUUAUUAAAUAUCAAAACUGAUAAAAUGACAAUAAUCAGGGCAGUGUUGUCCAAAAAUAGACAAACGAAUGGAACAGGCUCAAACAAAUAUGGACAUUGAUUUACAUCUAAAGUGGCACCAUACAACAAUGGUGAAAGGACUCUUGUAAAUAAAUGGCAUGGGACAAUUGUAUAGCCUUUUAAACAGAAAAAGAACAAAAAGGAAAAAAAAAGAAACUUGACCCCCUACUUCACACUAUACACAAAAAACAAUUCCAGGGGAACUAACAUGAAAAGCAAAAUAAAGUUAAACAUGAAAAGCAAAAUAAAGUAUAUGGUAAAAAAUUUAUCUUACCCAAAAAGAGGUCUAGCCUUUGCCCUCAGCUACUGGGAGAUGAAUUUUAGACCCUUGAAAUGUUCUCACUGAUAAGUGUGUCUUUGUUUACCUGGAGGUUUUGACCACCACACAGUCAACAAUGUGAUUUAUAAUAGGAACUUUGAGCCACACAGUAUCAGCUCUACCUGUGGAGGUAGACUAAAAGAUCGGCCAUGUGAGCAGUCAACCAUGGCAGGCCAUUAAAACUGCACACUGAGGCUCGGGUGAAAUACAGUUCUCUUGUAUACGGUUUCUACAUGGUUUUAGUUCCUGUGGUCUACUGCAGUCCAAAAAUAAUAAACGGUAAAUUUCAGAAAUAAACAUUCACCUAACUUUUAUACAGUAUAUUCUUAACAAUUAUUCUAAUUUAUUGUUAUUAAUCUCUUACUGUGCCUAAUUUAUAAAUUAAGCCUUAUCAUAGCUGUGUCUGUAUAGGAAAAAACAGCUAUAUAGAGUUCAGUACUAUCCAUGGUUUCAGACAUCCACUGGAGGUCCUGGAACAUAUGUUUUGUGCAUAAGUGGGGACUGCUCUGUACGUCAUGUGUAUUGUCACACAUUAAUGCUGGGAAAGUAAUACUGUUCAUAUUACUGGGAGAGGACAACUGGAAGCUCAUAUUUGGAACUUGCCUGGAUUGUGCCUAUAUUAGUUUCCUAGGGCUGCUGUAACAAAGAGCUAGAAGCUAGGGUGGCUUAAAACAACAAAUAUAUUCUCUUGUAGUUCUGGAAGCUAGAAAUCUGACAUGAAGGUAUCAUUAGAUCUAUGCUUCCACUGAAGCCUGUAGGAAAAUCCUUCCUUGACUCUUCCUAGCUUCUCGUACUUGCUGGCAACCUUUGACAUUCCUUGACCUGCAGCUGCAUAACCUCAGUCUCUGCCUGUGUGUGUCUGUCUUCACGUGACCACCUUAGAAGAAUACUAGUUCUAUUAAAAAAUAUAUAUAUACUACUUCUUCUAAGUCACCAGCCCAUCAUACUGUACUAUAACCUCAUCUUAACUAAUUAUAUCUGCAACUAUCCUAUUUCCAAAUAAGGCCACAAUUCUGAGGUACUGGGAGUUGGGACUUUAAACAUAUCUUCUGGGGGCAAGGGAGAUCUGCAUACAAUUCGAUCCAUAAUACUGCCUUGUGUGUUUCUUUUCUCAGCUGAUUUUAAUCUUUAUUCCUUGAGUUGUUUCCCCUUUUCAACUAUUACAAACAAUGAAUUUUGCUGUGUAUGUGUCUUGGUAUAUAUGUGCACACAUAUCUGCUGUUUGUAUACCUCAGAGUGAAAUUGUUGGGUCAAAUGCUAAAAUCUUUUUAAAAGUAGUUGUAUAAUUUUACAUUGCAUUGGAAUGACAUAAUAAGCUAUAUAUCCUAUAAUAAAUUGUAACCAUGAGGCUAACAGCUUCAGCAAGUUCUGUGAGUCCUUUUAGCAAAUUACUAACCUAAGGUUGAUUGGGAACCACAGACCUCCCAACUUAUAAUUGGUGUUAGAAGUGAGGGUAGUCUUGAGAACUAAUUUCACAAGAAGGUAUUAUAAAAUAAGAUCUUCAUGACCUUGAAAUAGAAAAUGAUUUUUUAAAUAAGAUACAAAAAAGGUUGUGCAUAAAAGGGCAGUGUGCUUAAUUUGAGUACACUAAAUUAAUGACUUUAAUGCAUCAUGAGAUAUCAUUGGCUGGGUGCAGUGGUGGCUCACACCUCUAGUCCCAACACUUUGGGAGGCCAAGGUUGAUGGAUUGCUUGAGCUCAGGAGUUUGAGACCAACUUGGGCAACAGCACCAUCUCUACAAAAAAAUACAAAGAUUAGCUGGGCAUGGUGGCCUGCACAUGUAGUCCCACCUACUAAGGAGGAUAAGAUGGGAGGAUCGCUUGAUCCUGGGAGGUGGAGGCUGCAGUGAGCUGUGAUUGUGCCACUGCACUCCAGCCUCUGACAGAGUGAAGACAAGUUACAGAGGAAAUACCUGCAACACAUAAAAUGGAUAAAGGGUUCGUGAGCAAAAUUUAAAAACUUAAAACAGAAAAGACAGGCCAGGUUUGGUGGCUCACACCUGUAAUCUCAGCAUUUUGGGAGGCCGAGGCAGGUGGAUCACCUGAGGUCAGGAGUUUGAGACCAGCCUGGCCAACAUGGUGAAACCCCGUCUCUAUCAAAAAUACAAAAAUUAGCAGGGCGCGGUGGUAUGCACCUGUAGUCCCAGCUACUUGGGAGGAGGAGAAUUUCUUGAACCCAGGAGGUGGAGGUUGCAGUGAGCUGAGACAGCGCCACUGCACUCCAACCCGGGUGACACAGCAAGAGUCCACCUCAAAAAAAAAGAAAGGACAAAAAGGACAAAAAGACAGCUAUCUUAAACCAACAAGAAAAAACACAAUCUUUUUGGCCUAAAUUGUGUUCCCCCAAAAUUGAUGUUGAAACUCUAACACCCAAUGUGCCUAUAUUUGGAGAUAGGGAUUUUGGGACUUUAUGGAGAUAUUUAAGGUUAAAUGAGGUCAUAAGAGUAGGCCAGUAGUCUGAUAGAUCUGGUGUCCUUAUAAGAAAAGGAAGAGACAUGAGGUCAUUUUAUGGGCAUAUGAAGAGGCCACAUGAGGACACAAAAGGCGACUGCUGUGGUUUGAAUAUGAGAUGACAUCUCACAUCUGCCAUAACAGUAAGAAGGCCCUUGCCAGAGGUGGGCCCCUCGACCAUAGGCUUUAUAGCCACCAGAAUUGUAAGAAAUAAAUCUGUAUUCUUUAUAAAUUAUUUGGUCUCUGGUAUUCUGUUCAGCACCAAACAAUCUAAGACAGCAACUAUCUUCAGGUCAAUAAGAGAGCCCUCACUAGAAACUGAAUCUCUUGGCACCUCAAUUUAGGAUUUCUGGCCUGGCCUUUAGAACUGUGAGGUAAUAAACUCCUUUUGUUCAAGCUACCUAGUCUAGUAUUUUUGUUAUGGCAGCCCAAGUCGACUGAUAUACAAUCCAAUUAAGAAAAAAUGGGCAAAAGAUGUAAAAUAAAACCAUAAUGAGAUAAUACUGCACAUCUGCCACAAUGGAUAACAUCUUCAAAAGAUUAACAAUUUUAAUUGGAAAAAAAUAUUGGGAAGUAUAUGGAAGAACAGGAAUUCCCAGCUAGAUUCCAUCAACAUUAGGUUUGUGAGGUUCAUCCAUGCUGUUUAUAACUGUGGUUUUAAUUUUCAUUUCAUCGCAUGUAAACCUAAUAUCACCACUUUCAAAAAGAGUUUAGCAUUUGACCCAACAAUUCCUCUCCUAGGUAUACAAACAAAAUAUGUAUUCCUAUAUAUACCAAGACACAUACACAGGAAUAUUCACGGUAUUGUUUAUAUUAGCUGAAAAAGGGAAGCAAAUAUGCAUCAACAGUAGACACCUAAAUUGUUGCACUCAUAACAUGGAAUAUUACAUAACAAUAAAAAUGAAUUAAAGUUAUACACAGCAACACAGAUGAAUCUAUUCAAACCUAAUGUUCUGGAGUGAAAUAUGUCAGGUACAUAGGAUUACAUUUGUUUUAUUUCCAUUUUAUAUGUUUCAAAAACAGGCAUACUAAAUUACAGCAUUGGAAAUCAAAAUAGGGGUUAUGUUUAGGGCAGAUGGAGUGAUAAUGUGACUGGAAGCAAGCAUCAGGCGGCUCUGGGAGGGUUGGCUGAUUUUCUGUUUUUUUACUUGUGUGGCAAUUAUUAUGGUGUUCACUUUGUGUUCAUUUAUUGAGCUUUGCAUUUUUGUUUUGCUGUGGUUUUCUGUUUAUAUGUUAUGCUUCUCAGUUUAAAGAAUGUUGAAAUCUUCUAAUACGAAAUUUUUUUUCAAUGAGAAGGAUUUUAAGCAUCCAGAAUCAAUUUUAAAAUCUCCAAUUUGCUUUAUAUGUAGGUUUAUGGACUGCUUAACUGCUACUCAUUUUUUCCUUCAUUUAUCAAUAGUGAAAUAUGAAAUUAAAAUAAUGACUAUUUGUGGCAAAAUUAGGGACUAUGUAGCAUAUUAACAACUUUAUAAAUAAAAGAAUAAAUCAACUCACCUGGGAGUUGUUACUGUCAUUGACCUAAUGCUAUUUCCCAUGGUACUCCUUGUCCCCAUUGAGAGACAUGAGAUACUGCAGAUUUAUGGGUCACUUUCAACAUGUCUCCUCCAGGCCUCAUUUUAGAGAAGCAUAACAUCAUGAGGUUCUAUACAGGCAAGAUCUAGGCUUGUGUCCUUGAACCUUGCAUUCCCUCUCAAGAGCCAACCAAUAAUUGAAUGAUCCUAUAAAAAACACAGAAACACAGAGAAUGGUAGCAGAAAGCGGAUGCUUACCAAACCUAUUUUCUCUUUUUCUAAGCAAGGAAUAAGAAUAACUUACCUUCCUCCCUUGGAGUUAGGAGUUCUUAUGUAGAAAGGGAGGCAGAGUGACCUUCAAGAGAGUUUGGAAGGGGGAGUGAUAAAUCAGUUUAAAGAGAGCACCCACUGAUUCUUAGAUAACUUAUUCUACUUUCCUUCUCACUCUUUUGCAUUGACCAUGGCUUAGAAUAUAUUUGAGGAAAAGCAUACUGUCCAUAAGGUAUUAUUGCCCUUUAAAGCUGUUGGGGGGUACUAUGGGAUGGUAUUCAGUGAGAGCAGGACAGAGUCUCUACAGAAUUUUCUCUGACAAAACAAAAACUAAAUGACUUCCAAGGCUUCUCUAGCUCUAAGCAUUCCACAAUUCUUUGGAAAGCUGGAAUCUAAAAUUGCCUUAAAAUUAAAAAAUAAGAACAGUUAGGGUGUACAGUCUUUACCAUAUUUAUAUAGAAUCAUCAGUCUUCAGUGUGAUACUGUGCUUGAACCAACAGAAGGACUGAUGAAACAGAAGACAAAGUCCAGGUCUGGCGCCAUGGCUCACACCUGUAAUCCCAGCACUUCGGGAGGCCGAGGUGGCCAGAUCACUUGAGGCCAGGAGUUUGAGACCAGUCUGGCCAACAUGGUGAAACCCCAUCUCUCCUAAAAAUACAAAAAUUAGCCAGGCCUGGUGGCAGGUGCCUGUAAUCCCAGCUACUCGGGAGACCAGAGGCAUGAGAAUCGCUUGAACUCAGGAGGCAAAGGUUGCAACUGAGGUCAUGGCACUGUACUCCACCAUGGGUGACAGAGUAAGACUCUGUCUAAAUAAAUAAAUAAAUAAAUAAAAUAAUAAAAUACAACCUAAAACCUAGCAAUCUCAGCCCUGGAAUUCUAUUCAAUUGCACCAUGUUCAGCAGUGGUAACUGGAAACAUCAAUGCUUAUCAAUAAGAAAUGGAUGAAUAACUUAUGCUAUUCCAUGUGAAGGAUUUCUUUUUUCAUGACAGGGUUUUAGAAAAGUUUGGUUAAGAGAAAAGCAACAUGCAGAAGUGUAUAUAACAUCGUUGUAAAAAAUUUUUAUUAUUUUUGUUUUGAGACUGGGUCUCAUUCUGUCACCUAGGCUUGAGUGCAGUGGCACGAUCUCUGCUCACUGCAGCCUCUACCUCCCAGGUUCCAGUCAUCUUCCCACCCCAGCCUCCCAAGUAGCUGGGACUAUAAGUGCGUGCCACUGGGCCUUGCUAAUUUUUUGUAUUUUUUGUCAAGAUGGGAUUUCACCAUGUUGCCCAGGCUGGUCUUGAACUCCUGAGCUCAAGUAAUCUGCCCAUCUGGCUUCCUAAAGUGCUGGGAUUACAGAUGUGAGCCACUGCGUCCAGGCUUUGUUUUUUAAAUUAAUAACCCUAAUCAAAAGACAAAACAAUUAUGCAUACAAGGCCAGGCACAGUGACCGUAAUCCCAACACUUUGGGAGGUCGAUGAUCACUUGAGGCCAUUUCUAGACCAGCUUGGACAACAUGGUGUGACUGUCUCCACAAAAAAUAAAAACAAAAAGCCCGGCUUGGUGGUGCGUGCAUGCAAUCCCAGCUACUCCGGAUGCUGAGGCUGCAGGAUAGCCUGAGCCCAGGAGUUGGAGGUUACAGUGUGCUGUGAUUAUGCCACUGCAGUCCAGUCUGGGCAACAGACUGAGACCCAGUCUCAAAAGAUAACGUGUUUUUUUUUUUUUUUUUUUAAAAAAACAAAACCACAAGUAUGCAUGUAUAUAGAUAGGUGUAUGUAAAAUACUUAGUUCAAAGAAAAACAUGUAUAUUUCUCACAAAAAUAGGUGAGAAUUUUUGUUUUAAAGGAUAAACCUAGGUAGCUACAUAUUAGUUUGAGGAAGGGGGAACAGGGAUGUGAUGUGCCUGUAUCCCUGACUUUAGACGAUGGAAGGAGCUAAGCAAAACAAUUGAAAAAAGACCGUUUGAAAAAUACAACUGAUUAUUAACUCAUAUGCACACACGCAAAAAUAAACUUUUAGAAUUGAACUGCACUAAGUAAAAGUGAGUAAACUUGGCUCAUCAUAUACUCUUGUCAGAUGUAAACAAAAAAGUCCAAUUAUUAAAAUCUGACCCCCAGAAUUAAAAUUGCAAAAGCUUAAAGGGGCAGUUCUGAGAAAAGGAUCUUCAGUUUUGAAUGUGUGGGCUCCACCAGGGUUGAAAAUCCUGCACGACUGAUGAAACACGAUCCAGUUAAGCACAGUAAUUUUCAAAUAUCCAAUCAGGGCGCUUCCGUUUCUAAAAACAGAGAAACCGAGCAAGGGAUUUUGGGUUGCAGCUCUAAAACUCCAACAAACUAAGCUCCUUUGUCCUGACAAGGGCCUAAACCAAGUCGACAGCCCGUAAGUGCACCCAUGGUAAGGCGCUGCACAAAGAAAGCAUUUUGCGUUUCAAAGCUUUGUCAUGAUGGCGCUGCAGAAAGCAAGCGAGCUAGGCCUACCUGGCGGGGCUUUCAGAGGACGCCAACGUGGGCGCCAGCCACGCCAGCAGGGUCACCGUCCUUCCCAAGGACAGACAGCUCGCUAGCCACUCCUGUGGAGAGGGCGUGGUUAAGCCAUAUAUUUUGCCAACUAUCCCAGAAGCAUUUCUUAGGACCACCCAAUUUCGGAAAAUGCUACUUUAGCAAUAUUGACCCCAAAACGCAAUAUCCCCACUUUAACCUUGUAUAAUAAAAAGCCUCAAGCCUGGGACUGGGCUUCAACCUUGGUUCAAUACGGUUAUGACUAAUUAGCUUGGAGUCGUGAGACGCGGGACUUCCGGCUACCGAAACCCAGGUGACUUUAAAACUCGAUUUUAACUCGGUGCAUUUGAAUUCACCUUGCUAUCUUUGAUAGAUUGAGUAGUAAAUUCUUACUAGAUGAGGCUAUGUUAAAGUUCUAUCGACUCUCCAAGUGAUUCUAAUAUAAUUGAGGGCGUGUUGCAUUUGCUUGGGGGAUUUCAUCUGUGUACUACAGCUCUUUUCCUGAAAUGCGUAGGUGGCUCUUAAAAGAGCCGUUGGGUUACUAGAAGAAACUUCUAACUGAAUUUACUUUUUCUUGGGUGCCGCUUUCUUGGGUUUGGCAGUCUUUGGCUUCGUCACCCUAGCCUUGGCCGCCUUGGUGGCCAGCUGCUUGCGCGGCGCUUUGCCACCGGUGG
rnacentral:lncRNA from 1 species